GAAAAUGUCCGAUGCCACGUCGACGGUAGCUAUU
rnacentral:sRNA from 1 species